GAUGAACGCUGGCGGCGUGCCUAAUACAUGCAAGUCGAGCGAAUGGAUUGAGAGCUUGCUCUUAUGAAGUUAGCGGCGGACGGGUGAGUAACACGUGGGUAACCUGCCCAUAAGACUGGGAUAACUCCGGGAAACCGGGGCUAACACCGGAUAACAUUUUGAACCGCAUGGUUCGAAAUUGAAAGGCGGCUUCGGCUGUCACUUAAGGACGGACCCGCGUCGCAUUAGCUAGUUGGUGAGGUAACGGCUCCCCAGGGCAACGAUGCGUAGCCGACCUGAGAGGGUGAUCGGCCACACUGGGACUGAGACACGGCCCAGACUCCUACGGGAGGCAGCAGUAGGGAAUCUUCCGCAAUGGACGAAAGUCUGACGGAGCAACGCCGCGUGAGUGAUGAAGGCUUUCGGGUCGUAAAACUCUGUUGUUAGGGAAGAACAAGUGCUAGUUGAAUAAGCUGGCACCUUGACGGUACCUAACCAGAAAGCCACGGCUAACUACGUGCCAGCAGCCGCGGUAA
rnacentral:rRNA from 1 species